rnacentral:lncRNA from 1 species
ACUGUGUGAUUUUUGUUCUUUAGUAGAAGGAUAACAUGACAUAGCAGGAAUAAUACUGCCUUUUCUUUCUGGCAUGGAUCAAGAGAAAAGAAAAUACAAGAAAACAGACAGAAGAUCCUAUCUGCGACAAUUAAGAGCACUCUAAGAGGAAAACACAUCCCACCACACAAGGCAAGGUACUUCUAUGGAAGGGUGAGCCCUCACAGAUGGAGCAAUGGGGCGCGCACACCUGAACAAGGGAGGGGAAGGAGUUCUUAUCCCUGAUGCAUGUGACCCCUGCUGCUGUGUCCUUCCCCUAUUGGCUAAGGCUUCUGACAGCUUUGGAGAUUGUGACAUUGGAAUAAAGGAAAAACGUACAGGACUCAUGAAGCGCUGAAAUGUUCACAAAUAUCAAGCAAAAGUCAAUGAAAUUUAUUUUGAGCUAUUUACAUCAUUUAAUAAUUGAGCAAGGUAUACUCCUAUGAACAAAAUUUGGAGCAUGUUUGUCUCUCUCUGCCUGGCGUCUUCAGAAUUUGGAAACUAGUUAUGGUUUAUAAUCAGCUAUAGAAUUUUAACACGUGCUCUCAAAUGCAAGUUUCUGAUAACUUUGGAGAUUGUGACAUUGGAAUAAAGGAAGAGCUGGAAUGUUCAUGAAUAUCAAGCAAAAGUCAUGGAAAUUUAUUUUGAGCUAUUUACAGCAUUUAAUAAUUGAGCAAGGUAUACUCCUAUGAACAAAAUUUGGAGCAUGUUUGUCUCUCUCUGUCUGCCUGGCAUCUACAGAAUUUGGAAACUAGUUUCGUUCCCAGAUUUCCUAAACUUUCCAGAGAAAAUGGUCUUCUCCCUGGCUCAGCAAGAAGAUGAACUUUAAACACUGAGAAACUGGUCAUCUCCCUGGCUCAACCAGAAGAUGAACUUUAAACACUACUCUCAAUGACUUGAUGUUCCCAUCACUACUCCUGUCAUAAAGGGAGGGGACUCAGAUAUUGAGAAUUUUAUGAUAGUGUGAACUGUCUGGUAUGUCAUUUAAGUAAGCCCGUUGCUGAAAUAUUUUCCAUGUUAUUAGAAAGAGCUGAAGAGAGGGAUUGAGAUGGCUUCUUUAUUUUUUGUCUUUUGGGAAUUAAAGGAACCUGGUUCAACAAGGGCCUACACCUAAGUCUCUUGUUGUACCAGAGUACAAUUUAGGACUGCUCCUGAGGAAGGAAUUAGCUAGAAAUCUAGAGAGUAAGGGUAACAGAUUUACAUAGAAUAACAGCCUCAGUAUUUUUGGUUCCUCUCCAGUAAAGAUCACAAAGAAUAUUGCUAAAUCGCUAAAACACCUUUGCAAUAACGUAAGGGCUUACAACUAUAUACCAAUGUAGCUCAGUUACUAAACUGGAGUAAACUAAUUUCUCUUGUGUAGAAAAAUUGGUUGGCUGUGGUUUUAUAGCAGAUCUGCAAUUAUUAAUAGUUAUGCCAAUAAUCGUUUAACAGUGCAUAUGUUAAUAUAUAUGGAAAGACAAUGUGUAUAGACAGAUGUGUAAAAUUGAAAAAUAAACAUAUAACAAGAGAGAAACAUCUAUCGAACAGACAAUAUACAUACACAUCAAACACAACAGCAGUUUUAGUGACCAUAAUAUUUAUUUCUCAUUUUUACAUUGCUUACUUUAGUGACAACUGAAAAUGACAGUUGGCAAUGCAGCUAACAGUUUCAAUAAAAGUAUAAAACAAAAGACUGUGUACAAAGCACCUGUCUUUCCGCUUUUGUAAUCUUCCGUUGGAAAAAAUUUACACACCUAAGUAACCAUCUGUUUUCUUCAAGAAAAAAUCAUUCUUAUUUCUCUCUCUCAUCUUGAAAACAGCUGUCAGCCAGGAGGGCAGAGCUGAAAUUUAUUGCCACAUCACAUGAAGCAUAGAACAGACUCCACUACUCCUUGAGAUUCAAAACUUUGCCUCUCACAAAGUUACCUUUUAUUUUCCUCUUGUUUGUCACUCAUCUCCCCUAGUGUGCUCUUUUUAUUUCUUUUACUAUUAAUAAUAAAAUCUGUGGAUGACUGU